CGCAGAUGAAUACUUGCAGCUGCUGGAUGCGGCCAGCAACACAAUGCGGGCUCUUUGUAACAUGCCGCAAGAAUUCUCUUAUGAGAGUUAGCUAGCUCUCCAACCCUACAAAUGAUUUGCAGGCGUGAAAAGGGUGUAGAACUACAGUGUCUUGUCACUGGCGCACGCAAGUGCUUAUUGAACCAGAUGAGAAUGUUUUACAU
rnacentral:misc_RNA from 1 species